CCUACGGGAGGCAGCAGUGAGGAAUAUUGGUCAAUGGCCGAGAGGCUGAACCAGCCAAGUCGCGUGAGGGAUGACGGCCCUACGGGUUGUAAACCUCUUUUGUCGGGGAGCAAGACCCGCCUCGUGCAGGCGGAGCGAGAGUACCCGAAGAAAAAGCAUCGGCUAACUCCGUGCCAGCAGCCGCGGUAAUACGGAGGAUGCGAGCGUUAUCCGGAUUUAUUGGGUUUAAAGGGUGCGUAGGCGGGACGGUAAGUCAGCGGUAAAAAUGCGGAGCUCAACUCCGUCGAGCCGUUGAAACUGCCGUU
rnacentral:rRNA from 1 species